UAACCGUGCCAAGGUAGCGUAAUCACUUGUUCUUUAAAUGAGGACUUGUAUGAAGUGGCACCACGAAAGUUACACUGUCUCCUUUUUCUAAUCAGUUAAACUAAUCUCCCCGUGAAGAAGCGAGGAUACAAAUAUAAGACGAGAAGACCCUAUGGAGCUUUAAACUAAUAUAACAAAUACUAACUCAACCCAAACUUUAAGAACAACAACCUUUAUUCCAGCAUUAUGAUUAUUAGUUUUAGGUUGGGGCGACCGCGGAGUAAAAAUUAACCUCCACAUUGAAUGGGGACUAUCCCCUGAGCAAAAACCAACAACUUCAAGCACCAAUAGAUUGACAUCAAUUGACCCAAUAUUUUGAUCAACGAACCAAGUUACCCUAGGGAUAACAGCGCAAUCCAUUUCAAGAGUCCUUAUCGACAAAUGGGUUUACGACCUCGAUGUUGGAUCAGGGUAUCCCAGUGGUGCAGC
rnacentral:rRNA from 1 species